rnacentral:rRNA from 1 species
GGGGGGGGGGGGGGGCGUGGCUGGGGCGUGCAGGGCGGGCGAACGGGCGAGGAGCUGGCUCCUCUGAAGUGAGCGGCGGACGGGUGAGUAGCAAGUGGAGAACCUACGUAUAUGACUGGGAUCACUGCGGGACACCGGAGCUAAUCCCGCAUAAUAUAGUGACGCGCAUGGGUCAAUAACGAAAGACGGUGUUGCUGUCACUUAUCGAUGGAUCCGCGCUGCAUUAGCUAGUAUGGAAGGUACAGGCUUACCAAGUCAACGAUGAGUAGCCGACCUGGGAGGGUGAUCGGCCACACUGGAACUGAGACACGGUCCAGACUCCUACGGGAGGCAGCAGUAGGGAAUCUUCCGCAAUGGGCGAAAGCCUGACGGAGCAACGCCGCGUGAGUGAUGAAGGUCUUCGGAUCGUAAAACUCUGUUAUUAGGGAAGAACAAAUGUGUAAGUAACUAUGCACGUCUUGACGGUACCUAAUCAGAAAGCCACGGCUAACUACGUG